rnacentral:rRNA from 1 species
GACCGAUUGCGAAGGCAGCUGGCCGCGCCGCGAUUGACGCUGAAGCACGAAAGCGUGGGUAGCGAACGGGAUUAGAUACCCCGGUUAGUCCACGCCGUAAACGAUGAUCACUGGCUUGUUGGCCCUUCGGGGUUCGGUGGCUGCNCNAAACCAUUAAGUGAUNCACCUGGGGAGUACGGCCGCAAGGCU